AUGCUGAUAAUAAUAUCAAAAUGUAUCUCAUAUUGCAUGAAAACUACUACCUAUGAAGUGCAGAAAAUUUUCAAGUCUGCACCCAGUUACACAAUUUCCAUCACAGUACUUCUACUACAUGCUUGGCCUUUAUUUGUGGUAUCCUACAACAACUUGAUAAGCAAUGAGAAUUCCUUCAAUACUUCUCUUUCAACUUGUGUACGUUAA